rnacentral:rRNA from 1 species
AAUAUUGCACAAUGGAGGAAACUCUGAUGCAGCGACGCCGCGUGAGCGAUGAAGGCUCUCGAGUCGUAAAGCUCUGUCCUAGGGGACGAUAAUGACGGUACCCUAGGAGGAAGCCCCGGCUAAGUACGUGCCAGCAGCCGCGGUAAGACGGAGGGGGCGAGCGUUGUCCGGAAUUAUUGGGCGUAAAGGGUUCGCAGGCGGCCUUUUAAGUCAGAUGUGAAAGCCCGCGGCUUAACCGUGGUAAGCAUUUGAAACUGGAAGGCAUGAGUUAAGGAGAGGAAAGUGGAAUUCCUAGUGCAGCGGUGAAAUGCGUAGAUAUUGGAGGAAUACCAGUGGCGAAGGCGACUUACUGGACUUAUACUGACGCUGAGGAACGAAAGCGUGGGGAGCAAACA